AAAGCCACAGCCCAUAAGCAUGCAGCUCCCUCGGACAAGGCUGUCCCUGGAUGUGUCUUCUCUUUGGGGGAGAGGAAUGCACUAGUUAAUGGUAGCACCGUGAUGGAAAUCACCCAGCAAAUUGGAACAGUUCUCAUCACUUUAAUAACCUAGCGCUUACCAGCAGCACAGAUGAGAAGAAUAUUUCCUGCUCACCGAGCUCCUCAACUCCUCCUCCUGCUCAUGCUCCUCUGCCUGGACCUCCCUCCACAGUGCCCCAUUUCUGAGCCAGGAAGCAUUUCUUACUUGUCUUAAAAAGGAGGGAAGAAGCAUUUAAAAGCCAAACAAAGAAAAUACAAUCCAAUCAGAUGGGUCUUUUGUCAGAACAGACGGUGCCGUGGUGCCAGCCGCAUCCUGCUUCGCUCUGUGCGUUGCUGUGCAUGGUGCCCGAACAUUGCGGGUUGCUUGGCUGUAUUACUUGCCAUCAUUUUGAAAGCUUUCCAGACAAUUCUGUGUGAUUUUGACAUUUCAGGGCUUCUUCAGACGCAUGUGUCAAGAGGGAAACGCAACAUUUUGGGCUCUGUCUUAUCCCCCAGGACUUCCACCUCCCCUGAAGCAAUGACUGUUUUGCAUUCAGUCCCUCUAUACCUGGGACCCUAGACCAUCUGACAAGCCCUGCUUGACUCCUGAAAUUUGCUUGCUUUUGACAUGAAAAUCACCAACAGUUUAAAAGCAAUGCUGUUCCUCAAGAAGGAAAGGCAAAGUGUCCUCUGUCACCGCCGGUGUGACUGGUAAUGGGAAAAAUGCAAAGAGCCAGUUCCCUGACACAUAUUGAGCUAAUUCAACAGUAUCAUUGUCCAUAUUGCAAUGUAAAGGUCUGGCACAAAAUAAAGCUACAGAACAGUGGAGGGGGAACUGAGGCCGAGCUCAGAGAGAAAUGCUUCCAUGGCUAGCUGCUGCCUGGCUGUGCUCGCGGGCCACAGUGGCAGGCACACUGCAGUAACCUGUCACACUUGAAGAAGUACCUGUCUUUGUCCUUCAACCUGCCAGCAGAGAAUUUGCAGGUCCACCAUGGGUUAUUUCUCAGACAGUCGGAGCCGUUGACACCCAGAUUCCUGAUGUUUUGUCCAUUGGAGGGGAGGAAGCCAACACUGGAUUUUGCAUGUGCUCUGCUAAUGCCCAGGCAGUGGUGUUUUUUUGUUGUUGUUGUUGUGUGUUUUUUUUUCUACUGGCAAUCUUGUGAAAAUCAAUUUCUGUCUAAAAAGAUCAUUCCUGCAGUUGCUACCAGCUCCUGCCAUAUUUCACGAGAAUGAGACAGUGUUCACCUCGCUGGAGGUGACGUUGCUUUCUGCUGGUCAUGCCAGCAGUUCUGGCCCCUGCACACCUCAAGGUCCCUGUUCAAGUAUGAAUGUUCCCAUCCGUUUCUGUAAAUAACUCCUUGGUCCCUCAUCAGUUAGGCUCCAGGGACUCCCACACCCCCCUGAUUGCUGCAGCCAACUAAGAAAUGUCUGCAGACACAGUUGCCAGAUUGUCCAGGAUCGCUGCAAUGGUUCCCAGCAAAAUCCUAAUUUUUAUAUGGCAUUUAAAAAUACAAUUAUUUAUAAACAACACACAAAUGUAGCCAUUUUAAAAAAUAUAUUUGUUCCACAAUAGUUGUUGAUGAAUCAACGUUUCCCAUCCUUCCCCUUCCAGUAAGUGUCUUAUCUAAGAACAUGCUGCCCUUCCUGCUGGAAAUCCUGCUGUGUCUUUGGAGACCUUGUCUUCUCCCUUCCUCUCCAAGGAACCACCAAGAAGGGAAGAGAAACUAGAAUGAUUUCGCAAGCUCUAGUGCUUCCUGUGAUGUGUUCCCCAAAUUCAGCCUGGGUGGAGAAUGGAUUGAGAGCAGCCCUGUUGAGACGCCCUGAGGGUGUUGGUGGGUGAGAAGCUCGACACGAGACGGCAAUGUGUGCUUGCAGCCCAGAACGCCAGUGUAUGCUGGGCUGGACCAAAAGCAGCGUGGCCAGGAGGGCAG